AAAGAAUUAAAGUUGGAAAAACCUGAAAUGCACAACAUGCGACACCGGUGCAUCACAUGCGACUCGCAUGUUCAACAUGCGAGGGUAAUAUGCGUUUCGCAGAUGAGGCAGCCAAAGGAUCAACUCUCUGUCACAGGAUGCGACACGAGAUGCGACUCGCAUGCUCAACAUGCGAUGGAAUAUGCGAGUCGCACAUGCUGCCACCAAAAUCCCAACUCUCUGUCAUCAAGUGCGACACAACCUGCGACUCGCAGGUUCAACAUGCGACUCGCAGGUUCAACAUGCGACUCGCAUGUUCAACAUGCGACUCGCAUGUAGUGUCGCAUAUGGGCCAAUUCGAUUCUUUUUUUUUUUUUUUUUUUUUUUU